CUUUUCUCUACCACAACCGUCAAACUUUGAGCUGAACGUAGAUCUACGAUUAAGGAUACAAUCAGAGAAGAGCUUACUUUGAGAAAAUUCUUAGCCGCAUUUUAAUUCCCACUUUGGGUAACAGAUUAGACUUUCUUCAGAAAAGAGAUUAGUUGUGUAUUCAUCAAUGAUUUUACGAGAAAACGCUACUUAAUUAAAUAUCCGCCCGCGAAUCAUUGAUGCUCCAUGAUCAAAGGGCAUUGGCCGUAAUAGAAUUCCAGCCGCCGGAUUGUAUUAAUGAGGUAAAUUUAUUGUUGAUCCCUCGGUAUUCUCUACACUCAUCGUAUUUUGAAAUUCAUUCAAAUGAUAUGCCGCAAAAAUCAAGGAAAGAUCCAAGCACCGCGGAGCUAGCCGGACACAGUUCGAGAUGAGCUGAAAUCGGCUGCCGAAAUUUUCUCGAGACGGACCUAACGGAGCUAAUUAAAUUGAAAAGUCCGGAUCACUCUCGAAGAUAUUGUCCUUGCGAGCAAUACAGGAUUUUGAGAGCAGACUUGGCUGAUAAGAAGCUUCUCCGAGCUUGCGAACGACCGCCUAAUAUGAUUCAUCGUCUAUUCUUCGAAUUUGCAUUUAUUCGCACUGAACCGGAUUAUUUCGGCUGUUUAGGAAUCAUAUUUACCGAAACUUUUUCAGUUGUUUUGCGAAUUUAGCGCGACCACUUACACCAUAAAAGUGUCAUCUUUUGCCUGGGACAGUUGUAAGCCUCCGCUUAUACCGAAAGUGACGUGAACGAGUUAGUAAUUUAAUUGUUGUAAGAUUGAAAAAGUAAUUAAUUAGUGGGUUUACGAAUCUAUUCACAAUUAAGAUCGAUCUAGAUUUUCUCAACUUUUAUUGCAUUCUGCGUUACUACUCCCAGAUAACUCAGCAGGGAAAAAGAUUAUUGACCUAUCUGCUGGUUACAUCACACUCAAUAGUCAAAAUUUGGUCUAGCACUAUCUAUGGCUCUUCAAUGAAAAUGACCACGAGGUAAAAUAAAGUUACUUGGCUGUUUUUUGAGACUUCACAUUUUUCAAAACGGAUUCUUUGGCACUUCGUUGCACUGUAGAACGAAUUGAAAGCCUGGGAUAAAAACAGUCAUUUACCAAAAAACGAAUAGGAGACAAACAGUUCGAGAGAGAGAGGGUGAGGUGCUCCAGGCAAAACUCACGAAAGGUGACUUCGAAGAUGGAUCCUUCUCGGUAUAACUUUGCAUUCUUCAACGAUGUUUCACUUCAGCCGAAAAUGGGCCCAACGAAGUCGAGUUCCCAUGACCUUGCUAACUAGAUGGGAAUUGCAUUAUUACGAAACACAUCCGCUUCCAGACUGAUCAGUACAAAAGUGAUAAUUUUUCAGAUUCGUUCACACCGGGUCACCAAUGUUAGCUGAUUGAGAGCAAAAAACCUAGAGGUGUGAAGUGCAUUCCUCACCGAGUGAUAUGAUUUUAUUUCGGAGGCAUAUGAGUGCAAAAUUGCUUCACGGAGACGUACUUAUCUUAAGCACUGCUAUCAGUUACAGCGCUCGAAAUUUACCGCUACAACAUCUGUAAAAUUGUGCUACUGCGAUAAGUACAUUAGAAAAAAUGUAAAAUGAAAUUUCCUGUGUUUCAAAACUCAUUGACAAAUGACUAAAAAUAUAAUAUUCACAAAUUA